rnacentral:rRNA from 1 species
AUUGAGCGCUGGCGGCAGGCCUAACACAUGCAAGUCGAACGGUAACAGGAAGCAGCUUGCUGCUUCGCUGACGAGUGGCGGACGGGUGAGUAAUGUCUGGGAAGCUGCCUGAUGGAGGGGGAUAACUACUGGAAACGGUAGCUAAUACCGCAUAAUGUCGCAAGACCAAAGAGGGGGACCUUCGGGCCUCUUGCCAUCGGAUGUGCCCAGAUGGGAUUAGCUUGUUGGUGGGGUAACGGCUCACCAAGGCGACGAUCCCUAGCUGGUCUGAGAGGAUGACCAGCCACACUGGAACUGAGACACGGUCCAGACUCCUACGGGAGGCAGCAGUGGGGAAUAUUGCACAAUGGGCGCAAGCCUGAUGCAGCCAUGCCGCGUGUAUGAAGAAGGCCUUCGGGUUGUAAAGUACUUUCAGCGGGGAGGAAGGGAGUAAAGUUAAUACCUGUGCUCAUUGACGUUACCCGCAGAAGAAGCACCGGCUAACUCCGU